rnacentral:rRNA from 1 species
CGGGGGGAGCAAGCGUUGUUCGGAUUUACUGGGCGUAAAGGGCGCGUAGGCGGCCACCGCAAGUCGACUGUGAAAUCUCCGGGCUUAACCCGGAAAGGUCAGCCGAUACUGCGGGGCUAGAGUGCAGAAGGGGCAACUGGAAUUCUCGGUGUAGCGGUGAAAUGCGUAGAUAUCGAGAGGAACACCUGCGGCGAAGGCGGGUUGCUGGGCUGACACUGACGCCGAUGCGCGAAAGCUAGGGGAGCGAACGGGAUUAGAUACCCCGGUAGUCCUAGCCUUAAACGAUGAAUGCUUGGUGUCUGGGGUUUUAUAGUCCCCGGGUGCCGUCGCUAACGCUUUAAGCAUUCCGCCUGGGGAGUACGGUCGCAAGACUG